rnacentral:rRNA from 1 species
CGAAGGGUGCUAGCGUUGUUCGGAAUUACUGGGCGUAAAGCGUGCGCAGGCGGCUUUUAAGCUAGAGGUGAAAUGCCAGGGCUCAACCCUGGAACUGCCUUUAGAACUGAAAAGCUGGAGACUCGGAGGGUUAGGGGAAUUUCUAAUGUAGCGGUGAAAUGCGUAGAUAUUAGAGGGAACACCAGUGGCGAAGGCGCCUAACUGGACGAGUACUGACGCUCAUGCACGAAAGCGUGGGGAUCAAACAGGAUUAGAUACCCUGGUAGUCCACGCCCUAAACGAUGGAUGCUAGCCGUCGGGAGAUUACUCUCGGUGGCGCAGCUAACGCGUUAAGCAUCCCGCCUGGGGAGUACGGUCGCAAGACUA